rnacentral:rRNA from 1 species
CAGGUAAAUCCGGUUCACUUUAACACUGAGGCGUGACGACGAGGCACUACGGUGCUGAAGCAACAAAUGCCCUGCUUCCAGGAAAAGCCUCUAAGCAUCAGGUAACAUCAAAUCGUACCCCAAACCGACACAGGUGGUCAGGUAGAGAAUACCAAGGCGCUUGAGAGAACUCGGGUGAAGGAACUAGGCAAAAUGGUGCCGUAACUUCGGGAGAAGGCACGCUGACACGUAGGUGAAGUGAUUUACUCAUGGAGCUGAAGUCAGUCGAAGAUACCAGCUGGCUGCAACUGUUUAUUAAAAACACAGCACUGUGCAAACACGAAAGUGGACGUAUACGGUGUGACGCCUGCCCGGUGCCGGAAGGUUAAUUGAUGGGGUCAGCGCAAGCGAAGCUCCUGAUCGAAGCCCCGGUAAACGGCGGCCGUAACUAUAACGGUCCUAAGGUAGCGAAAUUCCUUGUCGGGUAAGUUCCGACCUGCACGAAUGGCGUAAUGAUGGCCAGGCUGUCUCCACCCGAGACUCAGUGAAAUUGAACUCGCUGUGAAGAUGCAGUGUACCCGCGGCAAGACGGAAAGACCCCGUGAACCUUUACUAUAGCUUGACACUGAACAUUGAGCCUUGAUGUGUAGGAUAGGUGGGAGGCUUUGAAGUGUGGACGCCAGUCUGCAUGGAGCCGACCUUGAAAUACCACCCUUUAAUGUUUGAUGUUCUAACGUGGACCCGUUACCCGGGUUGCGGACAGUGUCUGGUGGGUAGUUUGACUGGGGCGGUCUCCUCCUAAAGAGUAACGGAGGAGCACGAAGGUUGGCUAAUCCUGGUCGGACAUCAGGAGGUUAGUGCAAUGGCAUAAGCCAGCUUGACUGCGAGCGUGACGGCGCGAGCAGGUGCGAAAGCAGGUCAUAGUGAUCCGGUGGUUCUGAAUGGAAGGGCCAUCGCUCAACGGAUAAAAGGUACUCCGGGGAUAACAGGCUGAUACCGCCCAAGAGUUCAUAUCGACGGCGGUGUUUGGCACCUCGAUGUCGGCUCAUCACAUCCUGGGGCUGAAGUAGGUCCCAAGGGUAUGGCUGUUCGCCAUUUAAAGUGGUACGCGAGCUGGGUUUAGAACGUCGUGAGACAGUUCGGUCCCUAUCUGCCGUGGGCGCUGGAGAACUGAGGGGGGCUGCUCCUAGUACGAGAGGACCGGAGUGGACGCAUCACUGGUGUUCGGGUUGUCAUGCCAAUGGCACUGCCCGGUAGCUAAAUGCGGAAGAGAUAAGUGCUGAAAGCAUCUAAGCACGAAACUUGCCCCGA